CACGCAUGACACACUGCAUAUCAAUAAGCGGAGGAAAAGAAACUAACAAGGAUUCCCUUAGUAACGGCGAGUGAAGCGGGAAGAGCUCAAAUUUGAAAUCUUCAAGGUUCUACCUUGACGAAUUGUAGUUUAUAGAAGUGUUUUCUGUUAGUGGAGUGGCAAAAGUUCUUUGGAAUAGGACAUCAUAGAGGGUGAGAAUCCCGUAUUUGGUCAUUCCUCCUAGCGUUGUGAUACACUUUCAACGAGUCGGAUUGUUUGGGAAUGCAGUCCAAAAUGGGUGGUAAAUUUCAUCUAAAGCUAAAUAUUGGCGAGAGACCGAUAGCGAACAAGUACCGUGAGGGAAAGAUGAAAAGAACUUUGAAAAGAGAGUUAAACAGUACGUGAAAUUGUCAAAAGGGAAGCGUUUGACACCAGUGUUGUUUUUCCGAAAAUCAAUUACGAAUGUUUUGUUUUUGAGGAGUUAUGACUUCAUCGGCUUGCUCCUUUCUUUAUGAAACUUUCUUAAUGCACUUUUCGGUUAACAAGUCAACAUCAAUUUCUUUUGUUGUAAAAGGGUAUGAGGAAGGUGGCUUUACUUUCGGAGUAAAGUGUUUAUAGCCUUGUAGACUCUGCAAUCGGAGAGAUUGAGGUCUGCAGCGUAGAUCCUUCGGGGUUAGAUACGUUUGUGCUAAGUUAUAGCUUUUCAUAGACAACUUGUUGACUAUGUUUAGUCUUGUAGCUUACUCGCUUAUGCUAUUUUACCUACGCUUAGGAUGUUGACUGAUAUGUAGUCGUA
rnacentral:rRNA from 1 species